UACGUAGGGUGCAAGCGUUGUCCGGAAUUAUUGGGCGUAAAGAGCUCGUAGGCGGUCUGUCGCGUCGGCUGUGAAAUCCCGAGGCUCAACCUCGGGUCUGCAGUCGAUACGGGCAAACUGGAGUACUGCAGGGGAGACUGGAAUUCCUGGUGUAGCGGUGAAAUGCGCAGAUAUCAGGAGGAACACCGGUGGCGAAGGCGGGUCUCUGGGCGAUAACUGACGCUGAGGAGCGAAAGCGUGGGGAGCGAACAGG
rnacentral:rRNA from 1 species